GUGGAACCCAACAAAAUGUUUCGUCAGGAUGACUCAAGAGAUUUCCCUGUUCUUGCUGAAGCAGAUAGCCAGAGCCAGCAGCAUGAUAGAUCCCAGCCAGAUAGAUCCCAAACAGGAUGCAGGCAUCUGACUUCGGCAUGGAAAGAAAUAGCUGAAACCAGGGCAAUGGAAGCUUACAGGUUUACAAGCCGUGCCCCACCUACCAGCACACACUCGGCUGGUGAACGUCCCUUGGGCCUGUUUGUAAUUCACGCAGUGACAGAGAGUGGGAAGGCUGUGAAACUGCUGGCUGGGCUUGAUAACUAUCGGUUGCAGCGUGAACCACCUCGAUGUUGGGUCAGGGACUGUACCGAGCAGGCCUGCUCAACAAAUCAUGCUUCUGGAAGGCAUCUGUCGCAACAGAAUUUCCCAGCUGAGGAAGAUUGCUUGAGCUCCUCGAUAAGAGAGGAAUUUUUUUCAAUGGAUGAAGGCUGUGAUGACUCUGGGACAGCCAGCACCCAGGCAGAUGUUACCAGUGAUGAUGCUAUCACAAGUUUUGCAAAGGAGUAUUCACUAGUUCCCUCAAAUAAGCAAAAGAGUUGUUCUGCUCAGAAUUUUGACCAGCUAGUAGAAAGCUAUUUUGAAGGGAUCUGAGCUUCAGCACAUCUGUUUGUAAUUUGGGAUCCAAAUCAUUUUGGAGAUGCAAAUGACAGUCUUCAUGUACACAGUUUAUAGCAACAUAGGCUAAACCCUGCAUUAAAACCGUGAAGGUUCAAAUAGGGUAAAGCCCAGUAUAUUUCUCUUAGAUUGGCAGCCAGCUAAAAAGACAAAAACUGGAAUGAAAAUAGAUCCUUCAUAUCAGUUGCUGCCUUCUUGGGGAGUUUAGAAACCUGUAAUAAUCAUAAGGCAUUAAAAAUGGGAAAAUGACUUUGAGUCUAAGCUAAUGUAAUGACUAUUUCUUUUGCAAUUGUGAGGGAAAUACCAAGAAAUAUGGUUGUAUUUUGUCUCUUUCUCAGCAGUAGAGUCUCAUUUUAAUAACUUCUUGAAGAAUAUUUGAAAUUCAAAGCCCUUGUAUAUGCCAGUAUUUCCUUUCACUAAGUGCUUUAAUUUACUCUAUAGAGGCCUAGAGGGUUUAGUGUUUGUUUUUGUUUUUUUAUUUUUAUUGGUCUACAUCUUAAAAAUUCUAAUCCAAUGCAUAUAUUUUGUUAUUGUACAUAGCUGUUUAUAUAUGAAUAAUGUGAAACAACUAGGGCACAUCCUACUUAAAAAUGGGGGGGGAGUAACAAACAGACCCACUAGCUGGGGUUAAUUGUUCAUGUGAAAUGAAUAAUAUCCUUGUAAUAAACAUUUAUUUUUCUGUUGUGUUUGUGAGAUA
rnacentral:lncRNA from 1 species